AAAGUUUUAUAGCAGCACGUUAUGGGCGUGUUUUGAUACUAAACAAUGCGAACUUGAGGGGCCCUUAUUAAUGAAACAUACGGGUUCUCCCGACGGCAUUGUAAACAGCACGCCUGCCGCAUGUGACCAGCGCGGAAGAGCCACGCCCCCUCAGAGCACUGCACGUGGACUUUGGCAUGCUCUCGCAACUAUCACCAACGCUAAACAAAUCAAGUGUCUUAUGUGAAACAGCAUUCCUGUUUAAAGAAAUAAAAGAUGAGUUUGUUUCUGGAGAAAUUUAAUGCCACAUGACUGGUGGAUUACUUGUGGAUCGUUGUGAUGUUUUUAUCUGACUCUCAUUCUGACGGCACCCAUUCACUUCAGAUGAUCAAGUGAUGGAAUGCUACAAACCUGAUGAAGAAACAAACUCAUCUUGGUUGGCUUGAAUACCCAUCACAACCAUCUGAAAAUGCUGCACUACGAAUCUUUUUUUAUUAUUAUUUGAUCAGCUGUUUCUAGCGUGCCUCUCACAAGGUUUGCAGACGGUGUGUUUACACUGAAGAUGGCCUCCAGCCACGUUAUAUUCCAGCUUCAAACUGUACAGCAAGAUCAAACUUCAAGCAAUGGCAAGACAUCAAGAGCCCCCGAACAUUUGUCUGUUUUCAGCCACCUCUUUUUCAAGAUAAGGAAUCGACUUUGACGUGCUACAGUAACAUUUCUUUUUAAAAUGGUUCAUCUCAGGAAGAAAACAACUGCUUGUUGUGCUCUUCUCUAUAAUGGCAACGGUUGUUAUUUCACUUAGGGAAUGGAUUCAGGGAGAAUAAAUAACACAGAAAAAAAUUUACUUGGAAAAAAAGAUUGUGGACUGUUAUUGUAGUCAUUUAAUUUUCACCUUUCAAUUUGAAAUUCUAUAUAGUAUUUUAUUAUUGUUGUUGGAAAUGUAUAGACUCUCUUAUGAGCGUUAUUGAUCUGCCCCUGACAAGCGAUGAUGAAGUGACUGUCAUUUAUUAAUUUAUUGUCAGUUAUGGUUGAUCUGUGUGGCCAGUCAUUUGUUAUUUGAAAGUGAAAGUCUGUGUUUUAAUCGACCAAUCAUUCUGAAUUAGUUCGGCUUGAAGUUUUUGUUGUGCAUCUGCCAUCAGAAUUGCAUUAUCCUUUUUUUUUCUUCUAUUAUUAUUUCCCAUUACUAGGCUACUAUUAUCUAAUCUUUGUGUGUUUUUCUUCCUCAAAAUCAUCACUACAUACUCUGCUUGGCCUACUGACUUCAAGUCCCUUGAUUUAAAAGCGUUUUAUGAUGUCUGGGUGUUCCUCGCAAUGAUUGCUUACAUGUUUUCUCAUUUACUCUUUAUAACAAGCCUGUCAGGCAAAUAAUGCCUCUCAUUUCUCCUCAUUUUAGAGAUGAUAGUCAGCUCGGCAGUGACGAAAGAUAACUCGCAGCAGCGUUUCUUUGUGGAAUUGCACUUCUAUGGUAUUAAAAGAUGAAAAUAGGUUGGUCCAAACUCAAAUAAAUCGAUCUCAUAAUGGUUUUCAAAAAGAAUUAUUACGUGAAACCGUGUUAGCCGCCUAUUUCAUUUACAUAAUGAAAAACAGGAUAUUAAGUGAUUAAAUUCUCAUUUAAAUGAGAAAAAUGAUUUGAAGUAUUUUAUUUGUUGGGGGUGAAAAUAAUGGUUUUUAGAAUGGGAAAAAAAAUCCAGA